UGCAGUCGAGGGGCAGCAUGGUCUUAGCUUGCUAAGGCUGAUGGCGACCGGCGCACGGGUGAGUAACACGUAUCCAACCUGCCGUCUACUCUUGGCCAGCCUUCUGAAAGGAAGAUUAAUCCAGGAUGGGAUCAUGAGUUCACAUGUCCGCAUGAUUAAAGGUAUUUUCCGGUAGACGAUGGGGAUGCGUUCCAUUAGAUAGUAGGCGGGGUAACGGCCCACCUAGUCAACGAUGGAUAGGGGUUCUGAGAGGAAGGUCCCCCACAUUGGAACUGAGACACGGUCCAAACUCCUACGGGAGGCAGCAGUGAGGAAUAUUGGUCAAUGGGCGAUGGCCUGAACCAGCCAAGUAGCGUGAAGGAUGACUGCCCUAUGGGUUGUAAACUUCUUUUAUAAAGGAAUAAAGUCGGGUAUGCAUACCCGUUUGCAUGUACUUUAUGAAUAAGGAUCGGCUAACUCCGUGCCAGCAGCCGCGGUAAUACGGAGGAUCCGAGCGUUAUCCGGAUUUAUUGGGUUUAAAGGGAGCGUAGAUGGAUGUUUAAGUCAGUUGUGAAAGUUUGCGGCUCAACCGUAAAAUUGCAGUUGAUACUGGAUGUCUUGAGUGCAGUUGAGGCAGCGGAAUUCGUGGUGUAGCGGUGAAAUGCUUAGAUAUCACGAAGAACUCCGAUUGCGAAGGCAGCCUGCUAAGCUGCAACUGAC
rnacentral:rRNA from 1 species